GCCUUGGUAGUGUAGUGGUAGCAUGCUCCCGCGGUUUGGGUGGAAAUCGGGUUCAAGUCCCGCCUGAGGUU